rnacentral:rRNA from 1 species
AUUGAACGCUGGCGGCAUGCCUUACACAUGCAAGUCGAACGGUAACGGGCCUUCGGGUGCCGACGAGUGGCGAACGGGUGAGUAAUACAUCGGAACGUGCCCGAUCGUGGGGGAUAACGAGGCGAAAGCUUUUCUAAUACCGCAUACGAUCUACGGAUGAAAGCAGGGGACCGCAAGGCCUUGCGCGGACGGAGCGGCUGAUGGCAGAUUAGGUAGUUGGUGGGAUAAAAGCUUACCAAGCCGACGAUCUGUAGCUGGUCUGAGAGGAUGAUCAGCCACACUGGGACUGAGACACGGCCCAGACUCCUACGGGAGGCAGCAGUGGGGAAUUUUGGACAAUGGGCGCAAGCCUGAUCCAGCCAUGCCGCGUGCAGGAUGAAGGCCUUCGGGUUGUAAACUGCUUUUGUACGGAACGAAAAGCCUUCUUUUAAUACAGGAGGGUCAUGACGGUACCGUAAGAAUAAGCACCGGCUAACUACGUG